rnacentral:rRNA from 1 species
UACGUAGGGAGCAAGCGUUAUCCGGAUUUACUGGGUGUAAAGGGCGCGUAGGCGGGAUGGCAAGUCAGGUGUGAAAUCCAGGGGCUCAACCCCUGAACUGCAUUUGAAACUGUCGUUCUUGAGUACUGGAGAGGUUGACGGAAUUCCUAGUGUAGCGGUGAAAUGCGUAGAUAUUAGGAGGAACACCAGUGGCGAAGGCGGUCAACUGGACAGCAACUGACGCUGAGGCGCGAAAGCGUGGGGAGCAAACAGG